rnacentral:rRNA from 1 species
AGAGUUUGAUCAUGGCUCAGAACGAACGCUGGCGGCGUGGAUAAGACAUGCAAGUCGCACGGAUUUUCACUGGUAGCAAUAUUAGUGGGAGUCAGUGGCGCAAGGGUGCGUAACACGUGGGCAACCUGCCCGGAAGUUGGGGAUAGCCCGCCGAAAGGCGGAUUAAUACCGAAUGUGGCUACCGAAGGAAUCUUCGGGACGCUAAAGCCGGGGCAACCUGGCGCUUCUGGAUGGGCCCGCGGCCUAUCAGCUAGUUGGUGAGGUUACGGCUCACCAAGGCGAUGACGGGUAGCUGGUCUGAGAGGACGACCAGCCACACUGGAACUGAGACACGGUCCAGACACCUACGGGUGGCAGCAGUCGAGAAUUUUUCUCAAUGGGGGAAACCCUGAAGGAGCGACGCCGCGUGGAGGAUGAAGGUCUUCGGAUUGUAAACUCCUGUCAUUGGUGAACAAGAUACUGCCGUUAACUGCGGUGGUGUUUGAUAGUAGCCGAAGAGGAAGGGACGGCUAACUCUGUGCCAGCAGCCGCGGUAAUACAGAGGUCCCGAGCGUUGUUCGGAUUCAUUGGGCGUAAAGGGUGCGUAGGCGGCGGGGCAAGUCUGAUGUGAAAUCCUGGGGCUCAACCCUGGAACUGCAUUGGAUACUGCCUUGCUAGAGUACUGGAGAGGAAACUGGAAUUUACGGUGUAGCAGUGAAAUGCGUAGAGAUCGUAAGGAAGACCAGUGGCGAAGGCGAGUUUCUGGACAGUUACUGACGCUGAGGCACGAAGGCCAGGGGAGCAAACGGGAUUAGAUACCCCAGUAGUCC